rfam:Gossypium hirsutum cultivar TM-1 chromosome 17, whole genome shotgun sequence
CACGUCAGCGCGAGUUGCUGACGUGGCAGCAAAUCAAGUCCUUGAGGGCACGAUUUAUUGUCACAUCAGCAACUCACGCUGACAAGG